CACUGGAUGGUUGUGUCAUAACGUUGUAGAGGACACUGGAUGAGUGUGUCAUAACGUUGUAGAGGACACUGGAUGGUUGUGUCAUAACGUUGUAGAGGACACUGGAUGGUUGUGGCAGACCGUUGUAGCAGAUAAAGUCUGGACAGUUGACGAGGUCACACCGGACCGAUGGAGAAGCUAACCGGAAUCAAUGUCGGAACAGUUUAUGGGGUCAUGUCGGACCGUUGGAAGAGUCGCACCCUCAAAAGGUGUGUCCAAUCUUUCAAAAGGCGUGUCAUCAAAAGGCGUGCCCAAUCCAUAAAAAGGUGUGCCGGACAUGAUGGCGAGGCGCGUGACUACCUUGGCUUGCGCGCCCGUUUUGUCAUCUGGCGUCAAGUGGCGCGCGAUGCGCGUAUCUGCCUUGGCUAUUUAACCAAGACGGAGGCUGAGGCGGAGGCAGAG